UGCAGCCUCACCUCAGGAGCCGCCACUGCCGCAGACUCACUCAGGGGGCCGGAUUCAAAUGUUAACGCACCCCCAUCUCCCGUCUAAAGUGAUAGGAGAUAGAGGGGCGAUAUUCAAAUGUCCCCCCCCCCCCCCCCUGUUUUUGCCCCUAUCACACCCAGUACAGUCGGGUUUAGGUGCACAAAGAAGUGUUGACGCAGUCCUUCCCACUCUGUCUCUUGUCACUGCUGCCACUAAGGAGCAGCCCUAAGCCAGCCCAGCAGCUGUGUGUGUGUCCUAACCUGCCGCCAUCGCCGGGCACAAGUGUCUGACAGCCUCGGUCAGAGGGGGCAAUUACAGAUUGCAGCAGCUGCCACAGCCCCACCACUGUGCUUCCCCUACAGACAAUUUACCCAGCGCACUUUAGUUGAUAUCCCAGCAUAUGGGAACCCGGUGGUCAGAAUACCGAAUGCUCGCAACUGUUAGAAUGCUGAUGCCGGAAUCCCAACAGCCGGAAUCCCGAAUGUGUUACAGCAUAUUGAGCUUGAUGGGAAUCUCAAGAUCACUUCAGAUCACUUAAACAAAUGAAACUGUAUAUGACAUCAGGAACGGAUUCUUAUGCAGUUUUGUUAAGAUGUGGAUCCCAUCCCUUACAUGGGAUAGAGAUGGCAUAAUUGAAAUAACAGAUGCCUUAUUGACAAGAAAUGGCUAAAUUGGCAACUGUGGCACUGCCGGAUUUGUUUUGCCUUCCUCUGGACAAAAAUAAUUAGAAUUUAUGAAUGAAGCGUUGUGUUAUUUCAAGCCUACUAGCUAUGCAGCAAGUAAAUGAGAUAUGUGUAGUCAGAUGUACGCCAGACUGAAAUCUUUCUGAGCAGAUCACUUCAUUAUCUGAACAAUGAAAUAAAAUCCUGUAACUUUGGAUACAUAAUCGAAGAUGCCAACAUCUGUCAUCUGUAAACAGGAAAUCCUUGGCAUUGAAGAAUGUUUAAUUUCACGUAAAUUGUUCAUUAGAUGCCACCCACGCACAUAGUAUUGACUGCAAUAUGACAUUUGUAUCAUUUCCCUUUUCCUGCCAGGCUCCAGGAAGGCCAAUGAGUACGUGCCAGUCCACAAGCAAAGCAUAAGUGUGGCACUCACUGAAACAUCAAAAGUAAUGCAGAGCUGCAUGUGCCCUUUGAGGCAAGGGGCACAAUAAAACAUCAUCAAAACA